rnacentral:rRNA from 1 species
CGGAUUGCAGGCUGCAACCCGCCUGUAUGAAGUUGGAAUCGCUAGUAAUCGCGGAUCAGCAUGCCGCGGUGAAUACGUUCCCGGGCCUUGUACACACCGCCCGUCACACCAUGAGAGUCGGGAACACCCGAAGUCCGUAGCCUAACCGCAAGGGGGCGCGGCCGAAGGUGGGAUUGGUAAUUGGGUGAAGUCGUAACAAGGUAUC